UCACAUAAUCCUUAAUUACAUAACUCUUUCAUUUACUAAGUUAGCAUGAAAGAGCGAAUAGGAAUAACCCCGUAAUGGAAGCUUUCCGGAUUAAUGGUUGACACCUUUUUAAAUUUAAUGAAGUGUUUUUUAUUCAUGUGUUUUUAGGGUUCCGUAGCCGAAUGGCAAAAAACGGAACCCUUAUGGAUUCGUCAUGUCUGUCCGUCGUGUAUGUCACAGCCACUUUUUUCCGAAACUAUAAGAACUAUACUGUUGAAACUUGGUAAGUAGAUGUAUUCUGUGAACCGCAUUAAGAUUUUUACACAAAAAUAGAAAAAAAAAACAAUAAAUUUUGAGGGUUCCCCAUACUUAGAACUGAAACUGAAAAAUGUUUUUUCAUCAAACCCAUACGUGUGGGGUAUCCAUGAAUAGGUCUACAAAAAUUAUAUUGAGGUUUCUAAUAUAUUUUUUUUCUAAGCUGAAUAGUUUGCGCGAGAUACACUUCCAAAGUGGUAAAAUGUGUGUUCCCCCCCCCCCCUGUAACUUCAAAAUAAGAGAAUGAUAAAACUAAAAAAAAUAUAUGAUGUACAUUACCAUGCAAACUUCCACCGAAAAUUGGUUUGAACGAGAUCUAAUAAGUAGUUUUUUUUUAAUACGUCAUAAAUCAACUGAAAAAUUUUUUUUUCAUCAAACCCAUACGUGUGGGUUAUCUAUGGAUAGGUCUUCAGAAAUGAUAUUGAGGUUUCUAAAAUCAGUUUUUUCUAAACUGAAUAAUUUGCGCGAGAGACACUUCCAAAGUGGUAAAAUGUGUGUCCCCCUCCCCCUGUAACUUCUAAAAUAAGAGAAUGAUAAAACUAAAAAAAAUAUAUGAU